GAAGAAUCGGCCGGGGAUUCGUGGGAGUGGAGCGGAAGUCGGCUGCUGGCGCGGUUGAGCCGCGUGUGAAGAGGAAGGAGGAGCGUUUGUACCUUUGGCGUCUGUCAGCUGCGGCACUAAGCCACAUGCAGGAACUCGUGAUCCACUGUGGCUUCUGUAUUGGACAGUGCAUAUCUGAAACAAAUUGGAUCAGUCACCCCCGCCCCACUUAAAAUAAGACAGCCUCCGGACGCGCAGGCUCAGCGGCCAUGGCUCACGGGCCCAGCCGCUCCGCGGCAUGUGGGAUCCUCCCGGACUGGAGCACGAACCCAUGUCCCCUGCAUCGGCAGGCGGACUCUCAACCACUGCGCCACCAGGGAAGCCCCAUGUAUAACUUUUGACUCCCCCAAAACUUAACUACUAAUAGCCUACUGUUGACUGGAAGCCUUAACCAUAACAUAAACAGUCAAUUAACACAUAUUUUGUAUAUGUAUUAUAUGCUGUCUUCUUACAUGAAAGUAAGCAAUAGAAA